UGAGAAUUGACAGGUCCCUUGGUCACUUGCUUUUUCCUGUGACAGCUACUGAUCUCUAGAAAGGCCAAGGCUCCUAAGACAAAGAUUCUGAGCAGUUAUUCUUAGCACAGUAUCCUCUGGAUCCACAUUCACCAGGAUCUCUUCACAAUGACAGUGGAAAAUGGACAGUCAGAUGAGAAUAACAGUUUCCCUCUGCUAGUGAAUCCCUCUCUUUAUGCCUGGACUUCGAGAAGAAAACUCCUGAGCUGGGGAGAGAGCUCAGUUCUAGCAUAUACGGAAGUCUCUGGCUUUAAUCACCAGCAGCACAAAAGGGAAAAGCAGGAAGCGACUUUGAUGUUUACCACCAAUGACACUCCGCUUAUAUUUUGGAAAGCACAAGACAAAGAAAAUGAACACUCUCAUUAACAGAGGGGAGGAAGCUGAAGACUGGUCAUGAGGCAACAUAUGCUGCUACACUUUAUAUUGUGC
ensembl:lncRNA AABR07070873.1